rnacentral:rRNA from 1 species
UACGUAGGGCGCAAGCGUUAUCCGGAAUUAUUGGCCGUAAAGAGCUCGUAGGCGGUUUGUCGCGUCUGCCGUGAAAGUCCGGGGCUCAACUCCGGAUCUGCGGUGGGUACGGGUAGACUAGAGUGAUGUAGGGGAGACUGGAAUUCCUGGUGUAGCGGUGAAAUGCGCAGAUAUCAGGAGGAACACCGAUGGCGAAGGCAGGUCUCUGGGCAUUAACUGACGCUGAGGAGCGAAAGCAUGGGGAGCGAACAGG